GACGAACGCUGGCGGCGUGCUUAACACAUGCAAGUCGAACGGAAAGGCUCCUGCUUGCAGGGGUACUCGAGUGGCGAACGGGUGAGUAACACGUGGGUGAUCUGCCCUGCACUUCGGGAUAAGCCUGGGAAACUGGGUCUAAUACCGGAUAGGACGAUGGGUUGGAUGCCAUUGUUGAAAGAUUUUUCGGUGUGGGAUGGGCUCGCGGCCUAUCAGCUUGUUGGUGGGGUAAUGGCCUACCAAGGCGUCGACGGGUAGCCGGCCUGAGAGGGUGUACGGCCACAUUGGGACUGAGAUACGGCCCAGACUCCUACGGGAGGCAGCAGUGGGGAAUAUUGCACAAUGGGCGGAAGCCUGAUGCAGCGACGCCGCGUGGGGGAUGACGGCCUUCGGGUUGUAAACUGCUUUCGCUAGGGACGAAGCGCGAGUGACGGUACCUGGAGAAGAAGCACCGGCUAACUACGUG
rnacentral:rRNA from 1 species